CAGCAGCCGCGGUAAUACGAAGGGGGCUAGCGUUGUUCGGAUUUACUGGGCGUAAAGCGCACGUAGGCGGAUCGUUAAGUCGGGGGUGAAAUCCUGGAGCUCAACUCCAGAACUGCCUUCGAUACUGGCGAUCUUGAGUCCGGAAGAGGUGAGUGGAACUCCUAGUGUAGAGGUGGAAUUCGUAGAUAUUAGGAAGAACACCAGUGGCGAAGGCGGCUCACUGGUCCGGUACUGACGCUGAGGUGCGAAAGCGUGGGGAGCAAACAGGAUUAGAUACCCCCGUAGUCCCUGUCUCUUAUAC
rnacentral:rRNA from 1 species